rnacentral:sRNA from 1 species
CCCUGGCCCUGAUAGAAGCGACAUCCUUUUAUGUCGGCCGCGGCAGACAUAAAAGAUAUAGUGGAUAGCAGGAAACAGC